rnacentral:misc_RNA from 1 species
ACAAACUUGGUCAUUUAGAGGAAGUAAAAGUCGUAACAAGGCCUCCGUUGGUGAACCAGCGGAGGGAUCAUUACCGAGUUUACAAACUCCCAAACCCAUCGCGAACAUACCUUUUGUUGCUUCGGCGAUGCUGCCCCAGGGCACUCGCCGAAGGCCCCAAACCUCUGUAUCUAAUAUGGAACUCUGAGUGGCGAAAGCAAAAACGAAUCAAAACUUUCAACAACGGAUCUCUUGGUUCUGGCAUCGAUGAAGAACGCAGC